UACGUAGGGUGCAAGCGUUGUCCGGAAUUAUUGGGCGUAAAGAGCUCGUAGGCGGUCUGUCGCGUCAGCUGUGAAAACCUGGGGCUCAACCCCGGGCCUGCAGCCGAUACGGGCAGACUAGAAUUCGGUAGGGGAGACUGGAAUUCCUGGUGUAGCGGUGAAAUGCGCAGAUAUCAGGAGGAACACCGGUGGCGAAGGCGGGUCUCUGGGCCGAUAUUGACGCUGAGGAGCGAAAGCGUGGGGAGCAAACAGG
rnacentral:rRNA from 1 species